rnacentral:rRNA from 1 species
AUUGAACGCUGGCGGCAGGCUUAACACAUGCAAGUCGAGCGGGGUGAUGGUGCUUGCACUAUCACUUAGCGGCGGACGGGUGAGUAAUGCAUAGGAAUCUGCCUAUUAGUGGGGGACAACAUCUCGAAAGGGAUGCUAAUACCGCGUACGUCCUACGGGAGAAAGCAGGGGAUCACUUGUGACCUUGCGCUAAUAGAUGAGCCUAAGUCGGAUUAGCUAGUUGGUGGGGUAAAGGCCUACCAAGGCGACGAUCUGUAGCGGGUCUGAGAGGUGGGUCCGCCACACUGGGACUGAGACACGGCCCAGACUCCUACGGGAGGCAGCAGUGGGGAAUAUUGGACAAUGGGGGGAACCCUGAUCCAGCCAUGCCGCGUGUGUGAAGAAGGCCUUAUGGUUGUAAAGCACUUUAAGCGAGGAGGAGGCUCUUUUGGUUAAUACCCAAGAUGAGUGGACGUUACUCGCAGAAUAAGCACCGGCUAACUCUGUGCCAGCAGCCGCCGUAA